rnacentral:rRNA from 1 species
UGAACGCUAGCUACAGGCUUAACACAUGCAAGUCGAGGGGCAGCAUGGUCUUAGCUUGCUAAGGCCGAUGGCGACCGGCGCACGGGUGAGUAACACGUAUCCAACCUGCCGUCUACUCUUGGACAGCCUUCUGAAAGGAAGAUUAAUACAAGAUGGCAUCAUGAGUCCGCAUGUUCACAUGAUUAAAGGUAUUCCGGUAGACGAUGGGGAUGCGUUCCAUUAGAUAGUAGGCGGGGUAACGGCCCACCUAGUCUUCGAUGGAUAGGGGUUCUGAGAGGAAGGUCCCCCACAUUGGAACUGAGACACGGUCCAAACUCCUACGGGAGGCAGCAGUGAGGAAUAUUGGUCAAUGGGCGCAGGCCUGAACCAGCCAAGUAGCGUGAAGGAUGACUGCCCUAUGGGUUGUAAACUUCUUUUAUAAAGGAAUAAAGUCGGGUAUGGAUACCCGUUUGCAUGUACUUUAUGAAUAAGGAUCGGCUAACUCCGUGCCAGCAGCCGCGGUAAUACGGAGGAUCCGAGCGUUAUCCGGAUUUAUUGGGUUUAAAGGGAGCGUAGAUGGAUGUUUAAGUCAGUUGUGAAAGUUUGCGGCUCAACCGUAAAAUUGCAGUUGAUACUGGAUAUCUUGAGUGCAGUUGAGGCAGGCGGAAUUCGUGGUGUAGCGGUGAAAUGCUUAGAUAUCACGAAGAACUCCGAUUGCGAAGGCAGCCUGCUAAGCUGCAACUGACAUUGAGGCUCGAAAGUGUGGGUAUCAAACAGGAUUAGAUACCCUGGUAGUCCACACGGUAAACGAUGAAUACUCGCUGUUUGCGAUAUACGGCAAGCGGCCAAGCGAAAGCGUUAAGUAUUCCACCUGGGGAGUACGCCGGCAACGGUGAAACUCAAAGGAAUUGACGGGGGCCCGCACAAGCGGAGGAACAUGUGGUUUAAUUCGAUGAUACGCGAGGAACCUUACCCGGGCUUAAAUUGCAGAUGAAUUACGGUGAAAGCCGUAAGCCGCAAGGCAUCUGUGAAGGUGCUGCAUGGUUGUCGUCAGCUCGUGCCGUGAGGUGUCGGCUUAAGUGCCAUAACGAGCGCAACCCUUGUUGUCAGUUACUAACAGGUUCCGCUGAGGACUCUGACAAGACUGCCAUCGUAAGAUGUGAGGAAGGUGGGGAUGACGUCAAAUCAGCACGGCCCUUACGUCCGGGGCUACACAUGUGUUACAAUGGGGGGUACAGAGGGCCGCUACCACGCGAGUGGAUGCCAAUCCCAAAAACCUCUCUCAGUUCGGACUGGAGUCUGCAACCCGACUCCACGAAGCUGGAUUCGCUAGUAAUCGCGCAUCAGCCACGGCGCGGUGAAUACGUUCCCGGGCCUUGUACACACCGCCCGUCAAGCCAUGGGAGCCGGGGGUACCUGAAGUGCGUAACCGCGAGGAGCGCCCUAGGGUAAAACUGGUGACUGGGGCU